CCGGAAUUACUGGGUGUAAAGGGAGCGCACGCGGUUUUUUAAGUUUAUGGUGAAACUUGGGGGCUCAACCCCGUGAUGCCAUGCAAACUGGUAUACUUGACUGCAGCUGCUGUUAGUGGAAUUCCAUGUGUAGCGGUAAAAUGCGUAAAUAUAUGGAAGAACACCUCUGGCGAAGGCGGCUAACUGGCCUGUAACUGACGCUGAGGCUCGAAAGCGUGGGGAGCAAAUAGGAUUAAAACCCUAGUUGUCCACGCCGUAAACGAUGGAUACUAAGUGUUGGAGAAAUUCAGUGCUGUAGUUAACGCAAUAAGUAUCCCGCCUGGGGAGUAUGCGCGCAAGCGUAAAACUCAAAGGAAUUGACGGGGGCCCGCACAAGCGGUGGAGUAUGUGGUUUAAUUCUAAGCAACGCGAAGAACCUUACCAGGUCUUGACAUACCACGCAAAAGCAUAGAGAUAUGUAAUAGUUAUGGUGGAUACAGGUGGUGCAUGGUUGUCGUCAGCUCGUGUCGUGAGAUGUUGGGUUAAGUCCCGCAACGAGCGCAACCCUUGUCUUCAGUUACCAGCAUUAAGUUGGGGACUCUGGAGAGACUGCCGGUGAUAAACCGGAGGAAGGUGGGGAUGACGUCGAAUCAUCAUGCCCCUUAUGAUCUGGGCUUACACACGUACUACAAUGGCGUAUACAGAGGGCAGCGAAGCAGUGAUGCGGAGCGAAUCUCAGAAAGUACGUCUCAGUUCGGAUUGGAGUCUGCAACUCGACUCCAUGAAGUCUGAAUCGCUAGUAAUCGCGAAUCAGA
rnacentral:rRNA from 1 species